rnacentral:rRNA from 1 species
CCAGAGAACUUAGCAGAGAUGCUUUGGUGCCUUCGGGAACUCUGAGACAGGUGCUGCAUGGCUGCGUCAGCUCGUGUUGUGAAAUGUUGGGUUAAGUCCCGCAACGAGCGCAACCCUUAUCCUUUGUUGCCAGCGGCUCGGCCGGGAACUCAAAGGAGACUGCCGGUGAUAAACCGGAGGAAGGUGGGGAUGACGUCAAGUCAUCAUGGCCCUUACGGCCAGGGCUACACACGUGCUACAAUGGCGCAUACAAAGAGAAGCGACCUCGCGAGAGCAAGCGGACCUCACAAAGUGCGUCGUAGUCCGGAUUGGAGUCUGCAACUCGACUCCAUGAAGUCGGAAUCGCUAGUAAUCGUAGAUCAGAAUGCUACGGUGAAUACGUUCCCGGGCCUUGUACACACCGCCCGUCACACCAUGGGAGUGGGUUGCAAAAGAAGUAGGUAGCUUAACCUUCGGGAGGGCGCUUACCACUUUGUGAUUCAUGACUGGGGUGAAGUCGUAACAAGGUAAGCGUAGCGAG